CCUACGGGCGGCAGCAGUCGAGAAUCUUUCACAAUGGGGGAAACCCUGAUGGUGCGACGCCGCGUGGGGGAAUGAAGGUCUCCGGAUUGUAAACCCCUGUCAUGUGGGAGCAAAUUAAAAAGAUAGUACCACAAGAGGAAGAGACGGCUAACGCUGUGCCAGCAGCCGCGGUAAUACAGAGGUGUCAAGCGUUGUUCGGAAUCACUGGGCGUAAAGGGUGCGUAGGCUGUUUCGUAAGUCGUGUGUGAAAGGUGCGGGCUCAACCCGCGGACGGCACAUGAGACUGCGAGACUAGAGUAAUGGAGGGGGAACCGGAAUGCUCGGUGUAGCAGUGAAAUGCGUAGAGAUCGAGAGGAACACUCGUGGCGAAGGCGGGUUCCUGGACAUUAACUGACGCUGAGGCACGAAGGCCAGGGGAGCGAAAGGGAUUAGAUACCCUGGUAGUC
rnacentral:rRNA from 1 species